UACAGAGGUCUCAAGCGUUGUUCGGAUUCAUUGGGCGUAAAGGGUGCGUAGGCGGCUGUGGAAGUCGGUGUGAAAUCUCAGGGCUCAACCCUGAAACUGCAUUCGAUACUGCGUGGCUAGAGUGCUGGAGAGGAGACUGGAAUUUACGGUGUAGCAGUGAAAUGCGUAGAUAUCGUAAGGAAGACCAGUGGCGAAGGCGAGUCUCUGGACAGCAACUGACGCUGAGGCACGAAGGCCAGGGGAGCAAACGGG
rnacentral:rRNA from 1 species